rnacentral:lncRNA from 1 species
GCACAAGCAGCACCCUUCUGCAGAAUUUAAAGGACCUUUCUGCUGGUGUCGAAGAUAAAAACCGCUAUUCACAUCCAACCGUUCUUUUGUAAACUGGUGAGUUUGCAUUGGUACCUCCUGGCUGGAAUUCCAAGGCAAAAGCUAUGGGACCUUUAUUUGUGUGUGUGUGUGCGCGCACGCGUGCACAUGUGUGAUUGUGCGAGUGUGUGUGUGAGUGUGCAUGUGUGUGGUGUGUGUGCGAGUGUGUGUGUGCAUGUAUGUGAAUGUGUUCAUGUGCAUGUGCAAGUGUGUGGUGUGUGUGUGCGCAAAUGUAUGCAUGUGCGUGUGCGAGUGUGUGGUGUGUGCGAGUGUGUGUGCACGUGUGUGUCAUGUGAGUUUUGUGUGUGCGAGUGUGUGCAUGUGUGGUGUGUGCAUGUGCGAGUGUGUGUGCAAAUGUGUCAGUGUGUGCAUGUGUGUGUGCGUGUGGUGUGUGUGCAUGUGUGUGAGUGUGUACGCGCGUGCAUGCUUAGGUGUGUUUAUGUGUGCAUGCGUGUGUUUUGUUAUGUGUUGUGACCACAAGGUACCAAAUUGGCUUAAAAAAAAAGGAGUGCCAAUAAAUUAAGUAAAUAAGUGCAAAUACUUUUCAAGUUCAUAUGACUUCAGUAAAUCUUUAAUAAAU